UUUUAGAAACUUUCAUCCUCGAAAGUACUAAUCCUCAAUAACUCUAUAAUAUCCCUGGGUAAUGAGCUCUCAUAUCAUCUUCUCGUUCUCAUGUCGCUUCUUUAACUCGAUGAUUCUGCCACAAUACUUUUACUAAUGAAAUUCCUCUAUUACGAAGCAUCAUCACUUCUCUAACCAGAAUCUCAACUGGUUGCACCACAUAGCUCAAAUUCUCGUCAAUCUCUAGUGGUUCAUAGUCCACUACAUGAGAUGGAUCUGCCACAUACUUUCUCAACAUCGAAACAUGGAAAACAUUAUGAAUUGCAGAGAGAAAUGGAGAGAGAAAUGGUGGUAAUGCUAAACGAUAUGCCACAACACCAAUUCUCUUUAAAAUCUCAAACGGUCCAACAAAACGAGGAUUUAACUUCCCUUUCUUCUCAAAAUGCAUAACAUCCUUCAUAGUUGCUACCUGCAAGAACACCUUAUCUCCCACAUCAAACUCAAGGUUCUUUCACCUCAGAUCUGCAUAACUUUUUUUUUUUUCUACUUUGCGUUGUUUGCGUACGUACUCUAAUAUUCUGAAUAAACUCAUUAGUAGACUAAACCAACUCAUAACCCAUCAAUCUCUGUUCACCAACCUCAUUCCAACAAACAGAAGUUCUACAACAUUUACCAUACAAAGCUUCAAACGGUGUCAUGCCAAUGGUAACCUGAAAACUGUUAUUAUAAGCAAACUCCAUCAAAUGUAAGUGAGAGUCCCAACUACCUGGAAACUCUAGAACACAAGCUCGUAGCAUAUCCUCUAAAACUUGGUUCAAACGUUCAGUUUGGCCAUCAGUCUGUGGGUGAAAGGUUGUACUAGAAAUCUAACCUCGUUCCCAUGGCAGUCUAAAGUCCCUUCCAAAACUUGGAAGUAAAAAGUGCAUCUCGUUAGAGACAAUAAUACGGGCACUCCAUGUAGUCUCACAAUCUCAAUCAAAUAUAAUUAUGCUCAUUUACUAGUAGUAUAAGUGGAUUUUUUUUUUUUUAAAUGAAAUGUGUCGAUUUCGUAAGCCUAUCGACAAUAACCCAAAUCACUGUGUAACCCUUCAGGGUUUUAGGCAAUUAUAUAAUAAAAUCCAUAGAUACAUUCUCCCACUUCCACUCUAAUAUACUCAAAGGUUGCAACAAACCUGUUGGUUUCUAUCUUGGUGCUUUAACCUGCUAGCACACCAAGCACUUACUAACAAGAUCUUCCAUUUCUCUCUUCAUAUUACGCUAGUAACAAACUCUUUUCAGAUCCGGAUACAUUUUUGUGCUACUUGGAUGCAUGAGAAAUGGGAAACUAUGAGUCUCAACCAAUAACCUUGUCUUAAUUGCAUUUUCUGUUGGCUCACAUAAUUCUCUCUCAAACAUAAGUUCAUCAUCAAAGGAUAUGGAAAACUCCUUAACUUGCCCUACUUCUACUAGGCAAUGCUUCUCAAUCAAAUAAGGAUCAAUGAAUUGAACCACAAGAAUUCUUUGUCUCAAGAUCGGAUGUACUGACAACUGAGCUAACUGUGAGGUGACUUCCCCCACUAAAACUACAAUCUCAGCUCUCUCGUGGUUUUUGUCUAAUGAAACCUGUCUGGUAAUAAGUGCUGUCAAAAUGUGAUACUUUUCUACAAAGAGCACCAACUUCCACAUUCGCCUUACCUAAAUGGUACAAAAUCUCACAAUCAUAGUCAUUUACUAACUGAAACCAUCUUUGCUAUCUCAUACUCAACUUCUUUUGAGUGAAAAAGUAUUUUAUACUCUUUUGGUUAGAAAAUAUCUAUAUCUUUUCAUCAUGAAUAUAUAGUGCCUUCAAAUCAUUAAUGUAAAAACCACAACUGUCAAUUUCAUAUCAUAAGUUGGACAAUUUUCCUCAUGACUCUUCAACUGACGAGGAGUACAAGCAACUACUUUAACUUGUUGAAUCAUAAUACCUUUUAAACUUUCCUAAAAGCAUCACUAUAAAUUACGAAACUUUCUGAACCAUCAUGUACGGUAAGCACGGGAGUUGUACAAGCUUCUGCUUAAGAUCCUGAACACUAUCCUCAUAGGCUUUGUCCCAAACAAACAGAGUCCCUUUUCUUAGUUAACUGAGUCAAAUGAGUAGCUAUACGAGAAAAUUCUUAUACAAACCGUUAGUAAUAACCUGCUGAACCCAAAAAGACUACGAACCUCACUGACUAUGAAAGGUUGAGGCCAACUGGUAACGACUUCAAUCUUUUAUGAGAUCCACAUAAAUGUCAUCUCUAGAUACCACAUGGCUUGGAAAGAUACUUGGCCUCAUCCAAAACUCACAUUUUGAAAACUUUGCAUACAAUUUGUUGACUCGAAGAGCCUCUAAAACCAUGUUAAAUGCUCCUCAUGCGCUGUCUCUAUUUUGGAAUAAAUUAAGAUAUCGUCAAUAGAUACAAUCACGAAAGUGUCUAAGAGAUCGUUAAACACUUUGUUCAUCAAGUCGUAAACAUUGUUUGAGCAUUUGCCAACUCAAAAGACAUCAUAAUGAACUCAUGAUGUCCAUAUCACGAACGAAAAUCUGCCAUAGGAAUGUCACUGUUCUCUAAUCCUCAACAAGUCAUAACUUUAAUGUAAUUCAAUCUUAAAGAACACGGAAUUAUUGCAGUUGAUCAAACAAAUCCUCAUUCAUUGGUAAAAGAUAUUUAUUCUUAACCGACACCUUAUUCAACUUUCUACAAUCAAAACAUAAGUGCAUCGACCCAUCUUUCUUCUUAAUAAACAAAAAUUGGUGCAUCCCAAGAUAACAUACUUCGUCGAAUGUAGUCCUUGUCAAACAUUUCUUUCAAUUGCACCUUCAAAUCUUUCAACUCUGUUGGGGCCAUUUUGUAUGAAGCUUUAGAUAUAGGAACGAGUCUAACUCUAUCUCAAUAGCAAGACCAAUUUCUGUUUAGCGCGGUAAUCUUAGAAACUCUUCUAGAAAAAUAUCAUAAUACUUUUUCACCACUGAUUCAAAUAACAAAGAAACAUCGACUUCUCUGGUGUCUACCACACUAGUCAAAUACAACAAGUACCCUGGUCAAGCAACUUACUAACCUUCAUAGUUGGGAUAACUUUUAGCGAAACGAUAGUUCCAACCUCUUUGUACUUGAAACUAGCCUCUGGAGAAGGAUUAGAAACUACAUUUUUGCUGAACAUUUUAUGUUCACAUGGUUAAACUACAUUCCAAUUUUCAAACUCCAAACUAGUAACUUUUCAUUCACGAGAAACUCAAAAUUGUUUCUUAAAGUCACAUCAAGACAACCAUGCUCAUCUUCCUUGUUUCUUUUCCAAUACCUCCAUUCUAAAACCAUUUAAUGUGUUUCGUAUAAACUUGACCGUGUAUUUAGUCCUCGUUAAAACCACCUACAUAACUUAUUUUUCUUAGAUUUCCAAUCACAAAACAGACAAUUUCGCUAACAACGUCUUACUUUUCUACUACUCGACCACUCCUUUGAACACCUCUACAUGACAACAUUUUUCCUAAAUUUCACCAUUAAAUCUGUCACCAUUAAAUCAUAACAUUCAUGUAAUUCUAGUUUAACUUAGGCAAGGUCAUAUACAUAAACCAUACAUAUAAGCAUAAAGCAUACCUGACGAGAGACGAAGGGUCGCGUUAGCCAUAGGGACACAAAAACAUAGACUUACAUCGUAAGUCAGUCUACAGAACCUAAAACUUAGGCUCUGAUACCAACUGUAACGACCCAACUUUUCUAAGUAAGUCGAGAUCGUUAAUUUUUAACAAAUAAAGACUUUAAUUAAUAUAAAACAAAACGUAAACAAUUAAAAAAAAAACAUCUUCAAGUCAGGCCUGAUUUUUAAACAUUCAAGAAAACAUAAAAUAGUACUAUUUACAACAAACGUUUGUAAACUAAAUUUCAAUUCAUUUUAAACCUCACAAGAACCCAUAAGCGGAAGCAAAAACACGUUUUCUAUGGCAUCACGCUUCCUUCCUGCCCCUCGCCUGUUUGCCGCCUUUAUUACCUUUGCCUGAAAAUUAAACAUAAGAAGGGUGAGUAUUUUAAAUACUCAGUAAGAGACCCUCUACUGGUCCCGUCAGGAGAAAAUAAAUUAUUAACGAUCUAUUGGGACACCCUGUACAGUCACAGUCUUGUGAUCCCGUAGGAUACACAUCUCAGUCUAACGCCCCGAGGGACGUACAUAUCAGUCUAGUGUUCUGCAGAAACACAUAUCAGUCUAAUGCUCCCGAAGGUGCAAAAUAAAUUGGUGAUCCCGUGGGACACCUACAAGGUACACAUCCCAAUAAAUCUAACAAUUUUCCCCUCAUUCCAUUCAAUCCAUCCUUCAGUUGCUUCAAAACAUAAAAUUUUUUCUCUCAACGUCCUAACAGUCAACUUACUUUACUUUAGUCAUCUGUCCGUCAAUAAUAUACUAAUACGUCAGUCAAUCAACUAUACAGUCAAUACACCCCUCAGUUCACCAGCACACAAUCAUACUUUAGCGUAAUCGUACACCCAAUCUAAACGAGAAUCACAAGUUCAUAUCUACAUCUCAUACCAACACAAUCUACAAUCUUCGUCAUGUCCACAUACACACACUUAUAUAUAUUUUCCAUGACAUUCACGAUAUACAUUCGACGUUAUGUCUACUUCAAUUCACAUGCAUUCAUAUAUAUUUUCAGUCAAACCACAGUAUACAUUCAACACACAUACAAUUCACAAUCACAAUUGAGCCCAGUAGAAAAUCCCUUACCUGAAAGUUAGGGAAGCUCCUUAAUCAACUAACGUCCUCGAAACAAUCCUAAGCAUAACAACACAAAAUUCAAUUACUUUCACAAUACAUAUCCCACUUAUUUUCCUCAACGUAAGUUUCAACUCACCGAUAUAAUGGCGAACUGAACCUUCAACAAUUCACAAUCUGGUUGUGAAUGUAAGGGAGCCUAACGUUACUCCCAACACCUCAACGCACGACUCGAACUCGCAGCAAAAUCCUAAGUGUGGGUCGGUUAGCGGUCGGCCAAAGGGAACGUGGCGGCUGGGCUUCACAGAUGGAGACCGUCACGAACAGACCGCGAAUCUGAACGGUUACAGCAACUAGUCGGCCGACGUCGAUAGCAGGUGGAGCGGCGGUUGUGAGCGGGGAGCGUGGUCGACGGAGACAGAAUCGGCGAUGGAGACGGCAGAUUGGCGCGCGGGACGACUGCUGCAAGGUUGCUUCGCGAACCGGAGAUGGCGGCCGACGGUUGCAGACGGAGAGGCUGCAGCGGCAGCUGGGUAUGGUAGAAAAGAAAGAGAAACGGAAGAAGAGAAAUUUGGGGUGGCCGGCCGUAGAAAACAAAAAGAAAAGAGGAAGAAAAAAGAAGAAAGAAAAGAGAAAGGAAAAGAGAAGGAAGAAAAGAGAUGGUUGUGGUCGUAGGUUGAACACGAAGAGAAAGGAAGAAGAUGAAUAGGAAAAGAGAAAAAUAAAAUAAAAUAUUAUAAGUAUAUUUUUUUCUUUCUUUUUCUUUUCUUUUAUUAUUAUUCCUUUUUCUUUUUUUUUCUUAAAAUAGAAUUAUUAUUAAUAAUAAUAUGAUUAUAAUAUAUUAUUAUUACUUUUCUGUUUCCUUUACUUUUCCUCUUCCCAAAACAAACAUUCUAUCUCUUCAUUAAAUACUAUCAAUUCCAACUUUUUAUCCCUUCUUUAAAAUAACAAAAUUUUAUAUUAUUCAAACUAAUUAUAUUAUUUCCAAUAAUAUAAUUUUCUCAUCCUUCCAUAACAUCAAACACAUAUAUCUAUACUCAAAAUCCUAAAAUAAAUUACCAAGAUCAUUCUCUUUUAUUCAUCCAUAACAAUAUAAAAAAAAUCAAUUUUCAUAAUUAAUUAAAUAUUCUUCCAUAAAUAUUCAAUUAAUUAUAAUCUUCACAAAACAAACAAAUCUCUUAAUUUAUCUAAAAUAACACCCAAAUAAUUCCAACUUAAAUUCAAUUCCAUUAAGAUAAAUUAAAUUUAAAAUUACCUUAAAUUUUGAGAUGUUACAAUAUAGUUUACUACAUGUUGUUACAACAUACUUAAGAUAUAAAUGUUUAUAUGACUAACAACAUAAUAUUACUAUAAGAUAAACAAAAAAAUAAAGAACAGAUUGAAUUGAAAAAUAUUUUCGAUUACUGUAUGUCACUAUAUAUGUCUGAUUGUAUAUAUCUCUAAGCAAUAUUACAUAAUGAGGUAGUAUAUAUGUAACAAAUCACAUAAUAUAUAUGUAUUAUGGAGUAGUAUAAAUGUAAUUGUUGAGCAACAAAUUUCAACCAAUGAAAUUACACCACGUCGUCGCACCCAAGUUGUGAUGAUUAUAAUUUGAUUGGAUUUGGGUAGUCAAGUUUUCCAACCCAAUUCAAGCCCCUGAUAAAAAAUCAGGCCAAACAAAGGGGCCUAAGCCCACUAAGAAAAUGGGCCCAAGCCCAAGUCCAAGCUCAACAACACAACAAGCAAAUGGGUCCAAGCCCACAUAAAGUCAACAAAUUUUCUCUAUAAGUAGAGACCUUUGUCAUUCAUUCGAGAGAUCUUUUGUUGAAGGAAGAAAUGAAGAUCUGAAGUACUGAAGCUUUGAAGAAUUGAAGAUUCAAACUUCUAUAGAGCUCUCAAGACGUGCAAGUUCUUAUCAACUUCGAGAUCAUCAUCUUCUGAAAUAUUGAAGACUUGGAAGAUCAAAAUUUCCUUAAAUUCCAGAAGACUGAAGCUGAAAUAGACCGAACCAUUUAAAUUCGGUUUGGACUAUUUGAGACAGCAACAAACUGUGUUUUUUGUUUUGUACAUAAAUGGUGUGGUUUGAUUCGGUUUUAACAAGCGGUUCAAUUUACACCGUUUAGACUUGAUCUUAUAUAAUGUGAAAUUAUUUUUUUUCUUUGAAUUUUUAUCUAAGUGUACUCAAAUUGUAUACCAUGUUACAAAAUUAAUUGCAAUAAAUUUUUUAAAAUUUUCAAAAAUAUCAUAAAUUGACUAAUAUUUUAUACAAAUAUAGAGUAAAAAUGACCAAUUUACUCUUUUUAUUAUUAAUAAUAUAUUAAAAAUAAAAAAAAAAAGUGAACCACGUUUAAGAUUUUCAUUUAUUAAAUAUUCUAUUAAAAUAUGGAUUAAAUUCUAUUAAAGUAAUAUUAAUAAUAAAAAUUGUCCUUAGUUUGCUUUUUAUGAUUUUAUUAAAAAAUUGUCCUUUUUUAUUUUGCAUUCUUUUUCAUAUAUUUUAUAUAAUUAUAGUAUAUAUUGAAUAAUAUAAUGUAUAUUUUAUUAGUGAAAUGUUCUUAUAUCAAUUUAUUUAUUUAUUUUAUUUCAAAUGACAUUAUAUCCUUUUUUAUUUUGCAUUCUUUUUCAUAUAUUUUAUAAAACACGUUUCCUAUGGCAUCACGCUUCCUUCCUGCCCCUCGCCUGUUUGCCGCCUUUAUUACCUUUGCAUGAAAAUUAAACAUAAGAAGGGUGAGUAUUUUAAAUACUCAGUAAGAGACCCUCUACUGGUCUCGUCAGGGGAAAAUAAAUUGUUAAAGUUCUAUUGGGACACCCUGUACAGUCGCAGUCUUGUGAUCCCGUAGGAUACACAUAUCAGUCUAACGCCCCGAGGGACGUACAUAUCAGUCUAGUGUUCUGCAGAAACACAUAUCAGUCAAAUGCUCCCGAAGGUGCACAAUAAAUUGGUGAUAUAGAUAUACACACCUAAUCUAAACGAGAAUCUCAUACAAACACAAUCUACAAUCUCCGUCCUGUCCACAUACACACAUUUAUAUAUAGAUUCCAUGACAAUCACGACAUACAUUCGACGUCAAGUCUACUUCAAUUCAUAUACAUUCAUAUAUAUUUUCAGUCAACCCCAGUAUACAUUUAACACACAUACAGCUCACAAUCACAGUUCACAAUCACAAUUGAGUCCAGUAGAAAAUCCCUUACCUGGAUCUUUAUAUAAAAUUCCUUAGUCGAACUAACUUCAACAAACAAACCCCAAGAGUAAAGAAUCGAACUCCAACAAAGCUUAAGGCGUAACUCAAGGACACUAACUCCAAAUCACCGAUGUCGCCUUCAAGAACAAAGAUCAAUUCAACCAAUUAAACAACAUCACAUCUUAAUGUAUUUACAAAUGUAAGACCUUAUUACCGAACAAUCUCAUCCUUACCAAUAUCUUGUAACAAGACUUUGACAAUCGACGUUAAAUAGAAGUUGCCGCAGGAUCUACACAAAAGACAUCGUGCAAAACACUUUUGCACGCGAACUGGUCCGCGAUUCGUAAAUGGGACAGCGGGUAUCGACGAAGGCAGAACGGUUCGGACGUUCAACAGCAGUUACGCGUGGACGGGAGUAGCCCGGCAACGUAGCCGAAUUCGUGCGAUGCGGCGUGACCUGCGUCGGCGAGGCUGUUCGUGACUGAGGCGUGCGACUUGCCUCGCGGACGGAGAUAGAGACGGCGGAGACGGUUGCAGAACCGUGGCUUCGACAGAGACAGAACCGGCUGAGACGGCUGGGCAGCGGCGGAAGAGCAACGGCGCCGCAUAUCUGGACUGGCAGCAGCGCGGUCUUGCUUCGCGGCGGGGCUGCGGACGGAAGAAGAAAAUGGAAGGAAAGGACCGGAGAUUGGCUGCGGCAGGACGGGAAGAAGAAGAUAGAGGUGGUGGUUGCGGCGGAAAGAAAAACGGAAGGGAAGGGAGGCGACGGUUUGCGAACGGGAGAGAAGGGGGAAGGGAUCGGCGCACACGCAGAAGAAGAAGGAAGAAAAGAAAAGAAAAAGAAAAAGAAGAAAAGUAAAAAUAAUAAAGAAAUUUUUUAAUAUUAAAAUAAUAUAUAUAAAAAUAAAAAAAAUAUAUAUAUAUAUAUAUAUUUACCUUUUCUUUGGGCAUUACAUUCUUCCCUCCUUAAGAAACUUUCGUCCUCGAAAGUUCUAAUCCUGAAAUAACUCUGGAUAACGAGUCCUCAUCUCUUCUUCUCGCUCCCAUGUCGCCUCUUCAAUUCGAUGAUUCUGCCACAAAACCUUUACUAAUGGAAUGCUUCUAUUACGAAGCAUCUUUACCUCUCUAGCCAGAAUCUCCACAGGUUGUUAUACAUAGCUCAAAUGCUCAUCAAUCUCCAAGGGUUCAUAGUCCACUACAUGAGAUGUAUCGGCCACAUACUUCCUCAACAUCGAAACAUGGAAAACAUUAUGAACUGCAGAGAGAGAUGGUGGUAAUGCCAAGCGAUACGCCACAACACCAACCCUCUCUAAGAUCUCAAAUGGUCCAACAAAACGAGGACUUAACUUUCCUUUCUUCUCAAAACGCAUAACACCCUUCAUAGGUGCUACCUUCAAGAAUACCUUUUCUCCCACAUCGAACUUAAGGUCUUUUCGCCGUACAUCCGCAUAAC
rnacentral:lncRNA from 1 species